rnacentral:miRNA from 1 species
CCUAAUUUGAACACCUUCGGUA